rnacentral:rRNA from 1 species
CACUCCUACGGGAGGCAGCAGUGGGGAAUUUUGGACAAUGGGCGAAAGCCUGAUCCAGCAAUGCCGCGUGUGUGAAGAAGGCCUUCGGGUUGUAAAGCACUUUUGUCCGGAAAGAAAUCCUUGGCUCUAAUACAGUCGGGGGAUGACGGUACCGGAAGAAUAAGCACCGGCUAACUACGUGCCAGCAGCCGCGGUAAUACGUAGGGUGCGAGCGUUAAUCGGAAUUACUGGGCGUAAAGCGUGCGCAGGCGGUUUGCUAAGACCGAUGUGAAAUCCCCGGGCUCAACCUGGGAACUGCAUUGGUGACUGGCAGGCUAGAGUAUGGCAGAGGGGGGUAGAAUUCCACGUGUAGCAGUGAAAUGCGUAGAGAUGUGGAGGAAUACCGAUGGCGAAGGCAGCCCCCUGGGCCAAUACUGACGCUCAUGCACGAAAGCGUGGGGAGCAAACAGGAUUAGAAACCCUGGUAGUCCCAUGA